rnacentral:rRNA from 1 species
AGAGUUUGAUCAUGGCUCAGAUUGAACGCUGGCGGCAUGCCUUACACAUGCAAGUCGAACGGCAGCGCGGGGGCAACCCUGGCGGCGAGUGGCGAACGGGUGAGUAAUAUAUCGGAACGUGCCCUGGAGUGGGGGAUAACGCAGCGAAAGUUGCGCUAAUACCGCAUACGAUCUAAGGAUGAAAGUGGGGGAUCGCAAGACCUCAUGCUCCUGGAGCGGCCGAUAUCUGAUUAGCUAGUUGGUGGGGUAAGAGCCCACCAAGGCGACGAUCAGUAGCUGGUCUGAGAGGACGACCAGCCACACUGGGACUGAGACACGGCCCAGACUCCUACGGGAGGCAGCAGUGGGGAAUUUUGGACAAUGGGGGCAACCCUGAUCCAGCAAUGCCGCGUGAGUGAAGAAGGCCUUCGGGUUGUAAAGCUCUUUUGUCCGGGAAGAAACGGUCCUUUCUAAUACAGAGGGCUAAUGACGGUACCGGAAGAAUAAGCACCGGCUAACUACGUGCCAGCAGCCGCGGUGAUACGUAGGGUGCAAGCGUUAAUCGGAAUUACUGGGCGUAAAGCGUGCGCAGGCGGUUGUGCAAGACAGAUGUGAAAUCCCCGGGCUCAACCUGGGAAUUGCAUUUGUGACUGCACGGCUAGAGUGUGU